rnacentral:tRNA from 1 species
GAAAUAUGAAGAUUCAAAUUAAAGCUUCUAACUUUAAAUUUUAACGAUUUAAAUUCGUUUAUAUUUCU